AAUUGUAGCUAUACAUUUUCAAUUCGUUCUCUUUGGGAUGAAGCGAAAUAUAGUAAUCGAAGUAAAAAAUUAUUGAACUUUUAUUCAAAGAACCCUAGCUAGCGACCUAACUGAGAAAGCGAACGAAAAGCAGUAUGGCUGCAAAUAGAUGCUAAAGAUUUGGCUAGAUGCACCAAAAACCUUCAUGUAACAGAUAAUCAGGCAAACCAGUGCUCUUGUAUGAGAAAAAGGGACUGUUGAUAUAAAGGCAGGCUGGCUCGGAAAACCGAGCUGACUCAUCUCCAGGCUGGAUUUUCACUUGUGUUUAUAUUAUUAAAUUUAAAAACACUAAUGGCGCUCAUUCAAUCUUUCACUGCAAUUAGAAGGUCCCAUAAUAAUUAAAAACCACUGCACAGCUAUUCUAUAAUAAAUUAAACGUUAAACAGUUUAAAUCCCAGUUCAAACCCAGUUUGAUUUUGUUUUUUAAAAGUAGUAUUAAACAGGUUUGUUAUUUUUACCGAUGUUCCAAUAUGGCGGCCACAAAAUUAUCUUAUUCAUUGCAACAAACUUUAAGAUCAGUCACUAAUCUUGAAAAUGUUUCGUUGGAAGAUUUGGAAGUAAAUAAAGAGCGGGAAUUUGUUUCCGAAAAAAAUGAGAUUGAAACAAAAUUGUCAUGGAAACGACGUGAUGAAAUCGACAACCCGACAAAUGCGUGCAUACAAGAAAUUAACGACGUAAAAAAUUGUCUAAACGACCUCGAGCUUGAGAGAUUAUCGUUGCAAAGAGAAUUUCAAAAGUUAUUUAGAGUGAACGUUUCGUUAAUGAAAGAAUUGGAGACAUUCGAACACACUGUUCGAAGCGCACAAACAAAACAGAACCCUGUACUCAACCGGCCAACUAAACCAAAAGUCUCUCUACACACCAUCGUGAAUUUAAAAAUCGGGUUAAAAAAAUUACGACAUCGAGCUGCAAAACACGCGGUCGCAAGGAAACCUGAUUAUAAUGGCUUUCCAGAACUAAAACGAGACAGAAAAUAUUAACUCGGAUUCAUAAGAAGUAUUAUAUAUGGUUUUAAUUUAUUGACAGAAUUAGUCUGAAUAAUAAACAAUUUCUUAAAAUGUA